AUAAGUAACCUGCCCUAGACAGGGGGAUAACUAUUGAAACGAUAGCUAAGACCGCAUAGGUACGGACACUGCAUGGUGACCGUAUUAAAAGUGCCUCAAAGCACUGGUAGAGGAUGGACUUAUGGCGCAUUAGCUGGUUGGCGGGGUAACGGGCCCACCAAGGCGACGAUGCGUAGCCGACCUGAGAGGGUGACCGGCCACACUGGGACUGAGACACGGCCCAGACUCCUACGGGAGGCAGCAUG
rnacentral:rRNA from 1 species